AUACGGAGGAUCCAAGCGUUAUCCGGAAUCAUUGGGUUUAAAGGGUCCGUAGGCGGGUUUGUAAGUCAGUGGUGAAAGUUUUCGGCUCUACCGGAAAAUUGCCAUUGAUACUGCAAGUCUUGAAUCAUUAUGCAGUGGUUAGAAUGUGUAGUGUAGCGGUGAAAUGAAUAGAUAUUACACAGAAUACCGAUUGCGAAGGCAGAUCACUAAUAAUGUAUUGACGCUAAGGGACGAAAGCGUGGGUAGCGAACAGGAGUAGAAACCCCAGUAGUCC
rnacentral:rRNA from 1 species